GUACAUUGACCACAAAAUAAAGAUUGACACAACAAAUGAUGUUGAUGUCGUUGGGCCGUAAUCAAGUACUACUUUCCACAUUUUUUAAGUAGUAGUAACCUACAAAAUGAUCUUUUGCUGUUCAUCAUUUAAUAUAACGUACUGCCUAGUACAAAAGCGUCUAACGAGAACCAACUUUCCAUACGUUUCCUUCCUGAUCAGAUAAUAUAGUUGAUUUGUCUAGACUUC
rnacentral:lncRNA from 7 species